rnacentral:rRNA from 1 species
AACGUAGGAGGCGAGCGUUAUCCGGAUUUACUGGGCGUAAAGCGCGUGUAGGCGGCUCGACAAGUUGGAUGUGAAAGCUCCUGGCUUAACUGGGAGAGGUCGUUCAAAACUGUCGGGCUAGAGUAUGAGAGAGGGAGGUGGAAUUCCGGGUGUAGUGGUGAAAUGCGUAGAUAUCCGGAGGAACACCAGUGGCGAAAGCGGCCUCCUGGCUCAAAACUGACGCUCAGACGCGAAAGCUAGGGUAGCAAACGGGAUUAGAGACCCCGGUAGUCCUAGCUGUAAACGAUGUGGACUUGGCGUUGGUGGUGUUAAAUCCAUCAGUGCCGGAGCAAACGCGUUAAGUCCACCGCCUGGGGACUACGGCCGCAAGGUUAAA